AAAAAAAAAAAAGAAAUGCCCUGGGAGAACAGUUUUGGGGAAAUGAAGAAAAGACUCAGAGAAGAGAAUACUGGCCCAAAGUGGAAUGUGAGGGAGCUGGAGGGAUAAUUGGGUAGAACGCAGAACCAGAGGUGACUUGCGAAAGUAAGCCUCAGGAAUUCACAUACGUGGGGAUCGACUUCCCACGGGGCCUGAGUGAUUUUUGUCUAACUCUUAAAGGACAGUAUGAAAUUAUCUGAUUUCAGAGUAAUACAAGUAUGAUGCUUAAAAUGGGUGACUACCUGGGCCCGGCUGGAUAGAGGCAAAGAAGUUCAAAAUGUGGGGAAAAAGUAUUGGGAAAAGUAGAGGGACUAUAAAGGAGAAGGUGGAUGAACAGCAGUAUUUCUAUAAAGGACAGAAAGAAAGACGAAGGCCUGAAAAAUUCACAAGCUUGGGAUUGAAGGGGAAAGAAUUUUAAGAUAAGCCAGUGCUGGCAGAGAUAAAGUGAAAGAAAAGAUGAAGGAAACAAAGUAGUGACUGCAAUCCUGCAGCAAAAGAACAAUACUGGAAUUUUGAUGUUUCAGUUGGUAAUUUUUCACAAAGCAGCACGUGGUUGUCAUUAUAUUGUACAUUCUGCCCCAGAUGCUGCUCCGCCUGAAAGAGGGUCAGGGUUCAGGCCUGAAGUCUCUUUGACCUUGUGGCUUCCGUGACUGAGGAAUAAAGUCCUGGUUUAAAUAAAUCAUCUAAGAGCACCAGAGGUCUGGCCCCUGACAAUGCAGCAGGCUUAGAAUAAGAAGAGGAGGAGAGUGAAGUGCAACAGUAAUCAGCCUGAGAGACAGUCUGGGAGUUAGACAAGGUAAUGACCUCCCACCCUUCAUUGCUCUCUUCAACUCCUACAAUCCCCCUACCACACUCCUCCUUCUUAGUGUCUCUCCCCGCAUGUUUUUAAGAUCCUCUCAUGGACCUCAGGAAGCAUGGGACAAACUGUCUUUGGGGAACCCCAAACGACUAAAACAUCAGAUUCUCAACUCACUAGUAACCUGAGAAAUUAGAAUGAAGACAAAAACAAUACCUUUUAGAUAGCUUAAAAGGUAUCACAUAUUUGCUAUGUGAUGGCAAAGAGUACAUAUCAUAAGAGUAUACAGCACAAAAAAUUUUCACAAAGUGAAAACAAUUGUGUAAUUAGGGACCUCAACCUAUACCCAGCAUUCCAGAAGCCUUCUUCCUGUCCCCCUUUCAGUCAUGCCGUGCCCCUAACAGCAACAACAAUCUUGACUUUUAACACCAUGGAUUGAUUUUGCAUUAAAAAGUACAGUGUUAUUUUGUUCAUAUUUUUAAAACUUUCUGGGCAUAGUUCAAGAUAGAAAUUAUUAAUAUCCCAAACUGGUAACAUACCAACAAAAAUACUAGUAUUUGAAUACCUUAAAUGGCAUGGCACAAAGUAGGCCUGUAUAAUGGAAGGGUAUCAUGGGCAAUACUAGUAUUGUAAUCACUGGGGUUAAGGAGAUUGAGAAAUUCUAAGGUGGGAGUGUCAAAAGUCACCUCAUCAUCUUAGGUUGGCGGGAGACUAGGGGGAAGGGUGGAGGCAAGGUCUCUGAUGUCAUCAAGGAAGAAGCAAGGCUAGCAGGUGACUACAUGCAGGGAGAGAGGAUGGCAAAAGAGAGCAGCUUGAACUUCGAACGUGGGUGAGUGAAGGCAGUCCGGUGGUGGUCAGGAAAUGGCAGUGGGGAGCCCUCGGCCCAUGAAGGAAAACCGGUGAAAGGAGGAGAAGUCUCUGAGUGAUUGUGAUAAUGGGGAAAGCCACGGGAAGGAAACAAUUGAGAAGAUGGGUCCGUUUGAUUACCGCAGAAUGGAAGGCUGUUCCUGUUGGCUUCCACGGUCCAAAACUGAGACCAAGAUCCUCACCCAAUGAUGCAGAACCCUGCUGUACUCUGACAACAAGCCCAGGCAAGUCUAUUAAAGGAUGAAAGUCACCAACUUUGCCACAGCCAACCCCUAGCCGAAACCCACUGACUAGUCAGCCCGGAGCUGAUCCAUCAACUGACUACAGAUGAAUCAGUGACACCCACCAAGAUCAACAGAGCCAGGCCCAGAUAGAUUGACUGGUGAACUCAGAAACAAUAAUAAAUGCAUUGUUUUAAGUCACUGGAUUUGGGGUAGUUUGUUGCCCACAAUAACUGAAAAGCAUUUUUAAAGACUUUCUAUCAAUGACAGUGUACCCAAUUAACUAUAAGUUCCUUCUGUUCUUGCGAUAUAAAUUUGAUAAAUGCCUUCUUAGUCGGCCAAGCUGAACUCACUAAGUGGAAUUUCUCUCUCUUACUUUAAUACCACAAAUUCUUUUCCUUCACUUAUGCUACUGUGUCUCUUUCCAUGAAAUGUUCCCAGAAGAAAAGGUAGAAAACGUCCUAGGUUUACCCUCAUCAUUCACUUAUUACCCCUCCUUUUCUCAGACACUUAAUCCACUUACACUUUGCACAUAAAAUUGGCUUCAUUAAGUAAACUUGAUAACUGUCACCACCAUUUGUCUCGACUGCCAAUUCCUAGAAUGCAGGCAAAAUGUUGGCAGAACUUGUCCAUAGAGUAUCAUGUUUACAGGCCCUUAAUCCGUUUGUCAAAUCAAAUUAAAAUGAAUGGUUUUUAAAUGUUUGAAUGACUCCCGGCUCCAAAUG